rnacentral:rRNA from 1 species
CAGAGGUCACUGCUAUCGGGRWUCGAUUAAGCCAUGCGAGUCGAGAGGGUUCGGCCCUCGGCGUACUACUCAGUAACACGUGGAUAACCUACCMUAAGGAAGGGGAUAACCUCGGGAAACUGAGGAUAAUACCCUAUAGGUUACAGACGCUGGAAUGCCCUGUAACCGAAAGCUCCGGCGCCUUAGGAUGGAUCUGCGGCCGAUUAGGUUGUUGUUGGGGUAACGGCCCAACAAGCCGAUAAUCGGUACGGGUUGUGGGAGCAAGAGCCCGGAGUUGGAUUCUGAGACAUGAAUCCAGGCCCUACGGGGCGCAGCAGGCGCGAAAACUUUACAAUGCGGGAAACCGUGAUAAGGGAACCCCGAGUGCCUGUAUAUGCAGGCUGUCCAGGUGUCUAAAAAACACCUGAAGAAAGGGCCGGGCAAGACCGGUGCCAGCCGCCGCGGUAAUACCGGCGGCUCGAGUGGUGGCCACUUUUAUUGGGCUUAAAGCGUUCGUAGCUGGGUUGUUAAGUCUCUUGGGAAAUCUGACGGCUCAACCGUCAGGCGUCCAAGGGAUACUGGCAAUCUUGGAACCGGGAGAGGUGAGGGGUACUUCGGGGGUAGGAGUGAAAUCCUGUAAUCCUCGAGGGACCACCUGUGGCGAAGGCGCCUCACCAGAACGGCUUCGACAGUGAGGGACGAAAGCUGGGGGAGCAAACCGGAUUAGAUACCCGGGUAGUCCCAGCCGUAAACGAUGCGCGUUAGGUGUAUCGGUGACCACGAGUCACCGAGGUGCCGAAGGGAAACCGUGAAACGUGCCGCCUGGGAAGUACKGUCGCAAGGCUGAAACUWAARGAWUGSSGGGAGCACCACWWCGKYSAGCCUGCGUUUAU